GACGAACGCUGGCGGCGUGCUUAACACAUGCAAGUCGAACGGAAAGGCCCUGCUUUUGUGGGGUGCUCGAGUGGCGAACGGGUGAGUAACACGUGAGUAACCUGCCCUUGACUUUGGGAUAACUUCAGGAAACUGGGGCUAAUAUCGGAUAGGAGCUCUUGCUGCAUGGUGGGGGUUGGAAAGUUUCGGCGGUUGGGGAUGGACUCGCGGCUUAUCAGCUUGUUGGUGGGGUAGUGGCUUACCAAGGCUUUGACGGGUAGCCGGCCUGAGAGGGUGACCGGCCACAUUGGGACUGAGAUACGGCCCAGACUCCUACGGGAGGCAGCAGUGGGGAAUAUUGCACAAUGGGCGGAAGCCUGAUGCAGCAACGCCGCGUGCGGGAUGACGGCCUUCGGGUUAUAAACCGCUUUCGCCUGUGACGAAGCGUGAGUGACGGUAAUGUGUAAAGAAGCACCGGCUAACUACGUG
rnacentral:rRNA from 1 species